AAACUCACAGAGAUCCGCCUGGCUCUGCCUCCCGAGUGCCAGAGUUGAUUCGGCUGAUCUGGCUGGCUAGGCGGGUGUCCCCUUCCUCCCUCACCGCUCCAUGUGUGUCCCUCCCGAAGCUGUGUGCUCGGUGGAAGAGGAGGACCUUCCCCGAAUAGAGGAGGACCGGUCUUUGGUCAAGGGUAUACGAGUAGCUGCGCUCCCCUGCUAGAACCUCCAAACAAGCUCACAUUUUUCUUAUCU
rnacentral:sRNA from 1 species